rnacentral:ncRNA from 1 species
UCAGAUCAAGCCAAAAUCCGGGUAACCGGAUGACGGAAAGCCGCGGGUCCACUAAAUGUUGAGGGAUAGCCGGGUUGCCUGAG